UAUAACUACGCUAUAUUUUUUGUCCUUGUGUGUCUGUGCAUGUUUUUCAGUAUAAAGUACACUGCAGCCACUUAUUGUGGAGACCAGGUUAUUUCAGCUAUGUUGGUGAACCCCACCCACAUCUGAACUGGUUACAUAGAGGGCACAGCAUGAUCAGAGAUAUGUUUUGAUGUGGGAGAAGAAGCCAACCCCCAGUCCCGUCAUCGCCAGCUCACCAGCUCUUAAGAUAAUCUUCGGGCCAACUUGGGGCCUAAGGCUGUUAAGAGACACUGCUAGAGACACUAUUACAGUAUGUAAUUGUGAUGAACUCAGAGAACAUUAGGGUAGCACUAAUUCAUCAAUCAUAUGCUGUCUUCCCUGUUCCUUUUGACUCCUCUGCUCUUACCUCUUUCCCUUUCUUUCUUUUACACUCUCACACCUCUGUCUUCCUCUGUUUUAUAAUGAACAGCAGAUGUGCAUUGAAGUACAGAUUGAACUUGUGUUUGUAAUAUCAUAUUACAAUUAUAAUAUUGAUAAUGCAUGUAUUAUGUAUUUGGAACACUUGGAUAAUGAACUUCUUUCAAUAAAGUGUUUCACAUUCUCUA